UGGGGAAUAUUUCACAAUGGGCGCAAGCCUGAUGCAGCGACGCCGCGUGAGGGACGACGGCCUUCGGGUUGUAAACCUCUUUCAGCACAGACGAAGCGCGAGUGACGGUAUGUGCAGAAGAAGGACCGGCCAACUACGUGCCAGCAGCCGCGGUAAUACGUAGGGUCCGAGCGUUGUCCGGAAUUACUGGGCGUAAAGAGCUCGUAGGUGGUUUGUCGCGUUGUUCGUGAAAACUCACAGCUCAACUGUGGGCGUGCGGGCGAUACGGGCAGACUAGAGUACUGCAGGGGAGACUGGAAUUCCUGGUGUAGCGGUGGAAUGCGCAGAUAUCAGGAGGAACACCGGUGGCGAAGGCGGGUCUCUGGGCAGUAACUGACGCUGAGGAGCGAAAGCGUGGGGAGCGAACA
rnacentral:rRNA from 1 species